rnacentral:rRNA from 1 species
CUAGUUGCCAGCAUUUAGUUGGGCACUCUAGUGAGACUGCCGGUGACAAACCGGAGGAAGGUGGGGAUGACGUCAAAUCAUCAUGCCCCUUAUGACCUGGGCUACACACGUGCUACAAUGGCGUAUACAACGAGUUGCCAACCCGCGAGGGUGAGCUAAUCUCUUAAAGUACGUCUCAGUUCGGAUUGUAGGCUGCAACUCGCCUACAUGAAGUCGGAAUCGCUAGUAAUCGCGGAUCAGCACGCCGCGGUGAAUACGUUCCCGGGUCUUGUACACACCGCCCGUCACACCAUGAGAGUUUGUAACACCCAAAGCCGGUGGGGUAACCUUCGGGAGCCAGCCGUCUAAGGUGGGACAGA